AUUUAAGUAGUUUAAUUAGAAUAAUAAUUUGUGAUGUUAUAGGUAUUGAUUUUAAUCUUGAAUU
rnacentral:tRNA from 1 species